rnacentral:rRNA from 1 species
AUUGAACGCUGGCGGCAGGCCUAACACAUGCAAGUCAAACGGUAACAGGAAACAGCUUGCUGUUUCGCUGACGAGUGGCGGACGGGUGAGUAAUGUCUGGGAAACUGCCUGAUGGAGGGGGAUAACUACUGGAAACGGUAGCUAAUACCGCAUAACGUCGCAAGACCAAAGAGGGGGACCUUCGGGCCUCUUGCCAUCGGAUGUGCCCAGAUGGGAUUAGCUAGUAGGUGGGGUAACGGCUCACCUAGGCGACGAUCCCUAGCUGGUCUGAGAGGAUGACCAGCCACACUGGAACUGAGACACGGUCCAGACUCCUACGGGAGGCAGCAGUGGGGAAUAUUGCACAAUGGGCGCAAGCCUGAUGCAGCCAUGCCGCGUGUAUGAAGAAGGCCUUCGGGUUGUAAAGUACUUUCAGCGGGGAGGAAGGGAGUAAAGUUAAUACCUUUGCUCAUUGACGUUACCCGCAGAAGAAGCACCGGCUAACUCCGUG